GUACACGCUGUGACUAGCAUAUCAAUAAGCGGAGGAAAAGAAACUAACAAGGAUUCCCUUAGUAACAGCGAGUGAAGCGGGAAGAGCUCAAAUUUGAAAUCUUCAAGGUUUUACCUUGACGAAUUGUAGUUUAAAGAAGUGUUUUCUGCUGAAGUUUUGGUAAAAGUUCUUUGGAAUAGGACAUCAUAGAGGGUGAGAAUCCCGUAUUUGACCAUUAUUUUCAGCUUUGUGAUACACUUUCAAAGAGUCGGAUUGUUUGGGAAUGCAGUCCAAAAUGGGUGGUAAAUUUCAUCUAAAGCUAAAUAUUGGCGAGAGACCGAUAGCGAACAAGUACCGUGAGGGAAAGAUGAAAAGAACUUUGAAAAGAGAGUUAAACAGUACGUGAAAUUGUCAAAAGGGAAGCGUUCGACACCAGUGUUGUUUUCUCGAAAAUCAAUUAAAAAUGGCUCGAUUUUGUAUUGCUGAGACCUUAAAAGCUCACUGUACAUUUUUCGUGUCUUUUUUAAUGCACUUUUCGUUUAACAAGUCAACAUCAGUUUCUUUUGUUGUAAAAGGGUCAUUGGAAGGUGGCUUUCUUUUCGGAGAAAGUGUUUAUAGCCUUUGGCCUCUGCAAUCGGAGAGACUGAGGUCUGCAGCGUAGACUCUUCGGGGUUAGAUACAUUUGUGCUAAGUUAUAGCUUUUUAUAGACAACUUGUUGACUAUAAUUAGUCUUGUAGCUUACUCGCUUAUGCUAUUUUACCUACGCUUAGGAUGUUGAUCUACAGAGCGAGAGU
rnacentral:rRNA from 1 species